rnacentral:lncRNA from 1 species
GUGACACCAAUAAAAAGGGAAGGUCAGUAGUGUUAGGAUGAGAAACAUGAAGAUGAGGUUGUGCAGCCAGAGCUUCGAGAGACGGCUGUAAAUAAUUCCCUUUUACCUCGCGGAAGCUAAUGAGGACGACAGAUGAGAUGUGAUGACAGAUCGGAGCCCCCCGCGGCACACUUGCAUAUUGACACGCGAAAUAAUCAUCGACGAGCAGCAAAGAGGCGGAAAGCAGUAAGAAGUGGCCUCCUUCGUUUUCUUGCUCCUCUGAGGGAAUGAAGGAAAAAGGGAAAUGGCAGACUUCCAGAAACCGGAAAAGGUAUUGGUACAAUGGGGAUUGAUGACUGGAUGACAUUCUUCUAUCAUUUCAAACAAAAGUUAUGUGGUUUGAAGCUAUGCUGGAUCCAUCCUGUGCUAAGCAUCAAAUUUUUAUAAGGAUGCGGAUGUCCAAGACCCAUUUGAAAAAUGUCUAACAUGAUCUUUUCUGUAUUUUAUUUGUUUUAUUCUGUAUACUGUAUUUUAACCUGUGUUUUAUAAUUGUAUGCGUAGUGUUUAUCUCUUAAACUAUGUUUUAUUUCUUUUAACAUUAACCUGCCAAGGGACUCCAGAUGGAAAUUAGCCUGAGGCUAUAAUCUGGCAUAUUUACAUUUGUUUUAAUGUUCAUUAAUAUGCAUUGUCCCUUUCUCAAUGAAGUUAUACAUAUCAGCGAUGUGCCAGAGUACCUACCUUUUUAUGUUUCUUAAUAUUGUUUUCUUUUUCCUUUUCAACUGUGGUUUUGAUCUUUAAAAUGUUUUUGCAUUAAAUGAUUUGUUGGUGUGAUUUGCACUUCAGGGCCACCGUACUUGUAUCCUCUUCUGACUGUGAUUUCUGUACACUGG